rnacentral:rRNA from 1 species
GACGAACCGUGCGAACGUUGUUCGAAAUCACUGGGCUUAAAGGGCGCGUAGGCGGGCUGUCAAGUCCGGGGUGAAAUCUUUCGGCUUAACCGGAAAAGUGCCUCGGAAACUGACAGCCUUGAGGGUGACAGGGGCAUGCGGAACAUCCGGUGGAGCGGUGAAAUGCGUAGAUAUCGGAUGGAACGCCGGUGGCGAAAGCGGCGUGCCGGAUCACUUCUGACGCUGAGGCGCGAAAGCUAGGGUAGCGAACGGG